rnacentral:rRNA from 1 species
UACAGAGGUCUCAAGCGUUGUUCGGAUUCAUUGGGCGUAAAGGGUGCGUAGGUGGCGCUGUAAGUCGGGUGUGAAAUUUCGGAGCUUAACUCCGAAACUGCAUUCGAUACUGCGGUGCUUGAGGACUGGAGAGGAGACUGGAAUUCAUGGUGUAGCAGUGAAAUGCGUAGAUAUCAAGAGGAACACCAGUGGCGAAGGCGAGUCCCUGGACAACUUCUGACGCUGAGGCACGAAAGCUAGGGGAGCAAACAGG